rnacentral:rRNA from 1 species
AACGUAGGAGACAAACGUUAUCCGGAGUUACUGGGCGUAAAGGGCGUGCAGGUGGUCUGUUAAGUCUGGCGUGAAAGCUCCUGGCUAAACCGGGAGAGGUCGUUGGAUACUGGCGGACUAGAGGACGUUAGAGGCGUGUGGAAUUCCGGGAGUAGUGGUGAAAUGCGUAGAGAUCCGGAGGAACACCAGUGGCGAAGGCGACACGCUGGGCCGUACCUGACACUGAUACGCGACAGCAUGGGGAGCGAACGGG